AAGCGCUUGGGGUAACACGAGCCCGGAAGCCUUCAAAGCUUCAAAUAGGAGUGAAAAUCUCCUAGCGCUUG
rnacentral:tRNA from 1 species